UCUCUCUCCCCCUCUCUCUUUCCCUCUCUCUUUUCCCAUCUCCCCCUCUCUUUUCCUUUCUCUCUCCCCCUCUAUCUUUUCCUCUCUCUCUCCUCCUCUCCCCCCUCUCCAGACAUCGUGAAACAAGCUGUGAAGGAGUACAGGAACAUCUACCCUGAGACGUGUGUUUGAGACAGUGUUUGGUCUGAAGCUGGUGGAGAUCGACUCUAAGAACCACGUCUACAUCCUCAUCAACAAACUGGAGCAGCUAGAGGGAGAAUCUCUCAACAUGUAGAUCACUGUGUGGAAAGACUAGAGGGAGAAUCUCUCAACAUGUAGGUCACUGUGUGGAAAGACUAGAGGGAGAAUCUCUCAACAUGUAGGUCACUGUGUGGAAAGACUAGAGGGAGAAUCUCUCAAGAUGGAGGUCACUGUGUGGAAAGACUAGAGGGAGAAUCUCUCAAGAUGGAGGUCACUGUGUGGAAAGACUAGAGGGAGAAUCUCUCAAGAUGGAGGUCACUGUGUGGAAAGACUAGAGGGAGAAUCUCUCAACAUGGAGGUCACUGUGGAAAGACUAGAGGGGGAUCUCUCAAGAUGGAGGUCACUGUGUGGAAAGACUAGAGGGAGAAUCUCUCAACAUGUAGGUCACUGUGUGGAAAGACUAGAGGGACAAUCUCUCAACAUGUAGGUCACUGUGUGGAAAGACUAGAGGGAAAAUCUCUCAAGAUGGAGGUCACUGUGUGGAAAGACAAGAGGGAGAAUCUCUCAACAUGUAGGUCACUGUGUGGAAAGACUAGAGGGAGAAUCUCUCAAGAUGGAGGUCACUGUGUGGAAAGACUAGAGGGACAAUCUCUCAACAUGUAGGUCACUGUGUGGAAAGACUAGAGGGAAAAUCUCUCAACAUGUAGGUCACUGUGUGGAAAGACUAGAGGGAAAAUCUCUCAAGAUGGAGGUCACUGUGUGGAAAGACAAGAGGGAGAAUCUCUCAACAUGUAGGUCACUGUGUGGAAAGACUAGAGGGAGAAUCUCUCAAGAUGUAAGCCCCAGGAAGACACCCCCUCCCCUACAGGAAGACUCCAAGCAGACACCCCCUCCCCUACAGGAAGACACCCCCUCCCCUACAGGAAGACUCCAGGAAGACACCCCCUCCCCUACAGGAAGACUCCAGGAAGACACCCCCUCCCCUGCAGGAAGACCGCAGGAAAACAUCCCCUCCCCAACAGGAAGACACCCCCUCUCCUACAGGAAGACACCCCUCCCCUACAGGAAGACACCCCUCUCCUACAGGAAGACACCCCCUCCCCUACAGGAAGACACCCCCUCCCCUACAGGAAGACACCCCCUCUCCUACAGGAAGACCCCAAGAAGACACCCCCUCUCCCACAGGAAGACACCCCCUCUCCUACAGGAAGAUCCCAGGAAGACACCCCUCCCCCACAGGAAGAUCCCAGGAAGACACCCCCUCCCCUACAGGAAGAUCCCAGGAAGAC
rnacentral:lncRNA from 1 species